rnacentral:rRNA from 1 species
UACGUAGGGAGCAAGCGUUGUCCGGAAUCAUUGGGCGUAAAGCGCGCGUAGGCGGCCCCGUAAGUCCGCUGUGAAAGUCAAAGGCUCAACCUUUGAAAGCCGGUGGAUACUGUGGGGCUAGAGUCCGGAAGAGGCGAGUGGAAUUCCUGGUGUAGCGGUGGAAUGCGUAGAGAUCGGGAAGAACACCAGUGGCGAAGGCGGUCUGCUGGGCCGUUGCUGACGCUGAGGCGCGACAGCGUGGGGAGCAAACAGG